GAUGAACGCUGGCGGCGUGCUUAACACAUGCAAGUCGAACGAAGCACUCUAUUUGAUUUCCUUCGGUACUGAGUAUUUUGUGACUGAGUGGCGGACGGGUGAGUAACGCGAGGGUAACCUGCCUUGUACAGGGGGAGAACAGUUGGAAACGGGUGCUACUACUGCAUAAGGGCGCAUGAACGCAUGAGGCAGUGGGAAAAACUCCGGUGGUAUAAGAUGGACCCGCGUUGGAUUAGCUAGUUGGUGAGGUAACGGCCCACCAAGGCGACGAGCCAUGGCCGACCUGGGAGCCUGACCGGUCGCAUUGGCACUGCGCCACGGCCCCAACUCCUACGCGGGGCAGCAGUGUGUAAUACUGCACACUGAGCGAUAGCCUGAUGCAGCGACGCCGCGUGAGCCAAGAAGUAUUUCGGUAUGUACAGCUCUAUCAGCAGGGAAGAUAAUGACGGUACCUGACUAAGAAGCACCGGCUAACUACGUG
rnacentral:rRNA from 1 species